GGUGGGAUGCACCGUCUCCUGGGCUUUCAUCACGUUUCAUCAAGAGGGAGACAGUUGGGGCGGGGGGGGGGGAUCAGUGCUGGUCACCUUUUGGAGCAGCUGAAGUCAGAUCAGGGCUGUAGUUUGGAUCCCCCCCCAGUCAGCCACACUCCAGCCUUUAUUGUAAUAUGAUUGGCAUUUUUCCGGGCCUCUCACCUCUACGCCACCUCACAGCAAGAGGGUUAGAAGGUUCGAGGUCCCGGUUCAAACCAACCGGGGGCCUCUCUGUGUGGACUUUGCAUGCGUCUCCCCGUGCAUGCGUGGGUUCUCUCCGGGUUCUCCGGCUUCCUCCAUGACAUGCAGAAGGGGGCUGGGUCAAUUGGAGACUCUGAAUUGACCGUGGGUGUGAACGUGAGAGUGAAUGGUUGUUCCUGUCUGGCCACCUGUCCAGGGUGGACCCCGCCUCUCGCCCAAUGCACCCAAUGGAAAAUGCACGGAGGCCAUCUUUCUGGACAUUUUUCUCCAGAGUUCACUGUCUGAAAACAGCUCCAAGUUAGCCUAAGUCUUCCAAUUCGCGGACCGCCUCCUUCAGCCGACAGCGAAGGUCGAACUGAAACGGAAGAAAGACCAAUAGGCCACGACUAAUCCGCUUUUCUCACACUAUUUCUGUGAAAGGCCUAAUACGUGUUGUCACAUCUCAGACAUAGUUGUUUAUUCAUUUCAUUUUUUGUGUCUACAAAUGGGGGAUGUAGAUGGAAAGCUUCUUUCUAAAUCUGGCACAAAACAUCUCUUGGUUCGUCCUGUCUCACGGAGGAAUCUAUUGUGGGCUUCUUACACUGCCUUUAAUAAUCUAAUAUCUAAAUUAUGUUUCAAUUCCGUCCAUCCAUCUGAGCCUGGUUUGAUGUGGUCCUGGAAGACAUACAAGAGUGCUACUUGUGCUCCGAUCAGCGACAGGCUAUGCAGGACACGUGACUCCUUCCGUCGAGGGGUUUGUGUUUCACUGUAAACUCGUCCGUGUAGGUGCGCAGUUCACUCAGUUUUCCCAUAAAUUGCCUUGUUUAAAGUUUAACCAAGCGUCGCACACCGCCGGUUCCCAUCAUAAAUCUGGCAAGUCACGAGAUUGUUAUCCAACAGGGCAUGCACACUCAGGAUUGCUCUCCCGCUCUUUCCCUGUCUCGACACCUUAAAUUGUAGCACUCAGCGCAAUUCAUCAUCUGUAAAGAUGCGCGGGGCGGGGGACACAGCCAAUUAUCAACCUGGCUGUGUAAUACAUUUCACAUGGCUCUUAUGCAACAACCCUGGCAAGAGGUGAGACUCAGGUGCCGGGCCUUCCCUGCAACCGCAGAGUAUUUACUCGAGGGGAUCGAAGGGUCAGCGGUUCUGAUAUACAUGAACAGCAGCAACGGGCCCCCCCCAAAAAAAAAGUAUCAAAAAUCCACGUUGCUAACCACAGUAACAGACCGUGAGGGCAGACAAGGAGCAGCUGGCCGGGAGAUGCAGAGACAAUCUGGCAGGGAACAAAAGAGGCACCCGCGGGGCCGGCGUGGAACAGCAGGCCGGUGGGCGGAGAACAGGUGAGGCUGGUCAAGGGGCCGGGGAACACACGCGAGGACGGGAACUGCAAGUGGCACAAGAGUUCGGCACGGCGAAGUACGACGGGAAACAGAUACCGACAAGGGGGUGCAGGUGAGGAGCUACUGGAGACGGCACCUGUAAAUUGCUCAACAUUUGGAAUAUGAAAACACGCCGCACUAAUCCCCCUGUGAGCUCACCCAUGACCAGUUGAUUCACGACCUCUAAAGUGAGGAAAUAGCUGGACCCCGGGGCUGCGGAAGUGAUGUCUCAACAACAGUGGAGAUAACAAACAUUUCAACUGAAAUGCAAGAACCUCUGCUGAAACGCAGGUGGGGCUGGAGAUUGAGACGCAAAUCAAGUUAUCCAGUAUCAUCUUCUGGAUCACUGACUCAUCGCUAAAAGGCCAGCUUGAUGUGAGCACCGCAGCAUGAAUCUGCCGUGACACAACGCCAAUGUAUUGACCAGUGGUGGAUCCCCCAGGGGAGGACCCCCCCCCCCCCCCCGCGGUUCUUGUUGCCCACUCAGACAACUGAGUCGGACGACUACAAGACGUCCGACUCCUCUCCUUUCUCCAACACUUUCUUUGCAUUCCUGCAACCCGGUGGCAAAGCGAACUCCUGCGCGGGCUUCUGAAUUCCUAAAGGACCAAAAAGGGGGAACAAAGAGAGGGAGGACGACCGUUGCAAUCCAUUUAGAGGUCACCUGGGAAAACACGCGGGCCUGCGCGUAGACCUGACGGCAGCUCUGCGUUUGGCAGAGCGACACACUUCGCCCUGUUUGAGUGAUGUGGGCUAAGUGGCUCUCAUUGGGCUCAGGGCCAGGCCAUUCCAUUCCUUUGACUUGCUGAUACGCAGCGUUCCUCCCUCGUGCUUCGUGCCCUUUGAUCUUCCACUAAGAUCCCUAAUGAGCAAAUUUGUGGUCAGUUUGACCCGCUCUAAUUGGCCAUGAGAAGCUCGGGCGCGCUCUGUUCCGGUCGGCUCAAUCCUUUACAGUGGCUCCUUUCGCAAACAAGAGCGCGUCUUCACGCAGCCGCCGUGUGACACAAAAAUCCCAAUACAUGGCAGUAUUUUUGAAAAAAGAAAAUAGAUAGUUAAGAGCAAUACACUUUCAAAAAGUACUCGACGGUGGCCCGGAAGAGUCAAAAACCAACCUGAUGCAAAAAAGGCCGCAACACAAGUGCAAAAGAGAUGUCAAGAGAUGUUGAAAUUCAGUUGCCGCAUGUUCUGUAUUUCACAGCAUUCAUGGAACAGUUAUUGACAUAUUUCAUCGUGGACCAAAGGUUGAAUGACCCGUAGACCAGCAUUGCCAACCCCUUGAAUUGAGUUUCUAUAUCGUGGCACACACUGUGCCCUGCUUACUAUCACUAUCUCCAAAUACCCACAGCAAGAAAUGUGAGCCCGUGCCAGGAAACAAUCCCUCAAGAACGUGUCACUGUACAAACUCAAGUGUUUUCUUCUUUGUCUUUGUCAGCAGGAGCAGCCGCUGAUUUCGGAGUAGGUUAACCUUUCAAAAUGGUCCAAAAGUUUAAAUGAAUGAGCCAUGUGUCCGGGGGAAGAAAAGGAGUUUUGCUUUAAUCGCAAGUUCCCGUCGAUCGUCGUAGUCCCUUUGUCGCACAGGUUUAGAGAAAUGCAAGAGAGAAUGCAAGCGCCCUUGCGAUGUAGUGUAGGUUGCAUUACUGAGUAGUGAGGUAGAACAUGGGCCACAGUCGUCGUGAGCCACAGUGUGAAAUCUGACGAGCCGAGGAUUAGUGAAACCUUGCUCUAAAUUUUUUUAAAAAAGAAAAGGAAAACACAUUGAAUUUCCACCUUUCCUUUCUUUUUAUAUAUAUAUAUAUAUGGAAAAACCUAGAGUUGUGUCAAUGUACAGGAGCACAAGAAAGAGACAAGUCCACGUCACUAGGCCGUACUUCAGGCCUUCAUGGUUCAGCGAGCUGAGCAUGACUCCUCGGCUUGAAUUUCCCAAAUGUUGACACAGGCCUGCAUAAUGGACUGUAAUGUUCCCUCUGAAUGCUCUGGAGUGGGGCCUAACAAGUCUUAAAGCAGGUCAAAGGGAGGUAUGUUAGGUUAUAUUGUCUCUUUUGUUGUGCAGUGGAACCAAUAAAAGGUUAAACUUAAACCCAGCUCCUGAGGCCCCUGUCUUUCCCAAUGCUUUUAAUCAUUAUUGAACAAUGUGUAUACUUGAAAAAAACUGUUUAUAUGCCUUCUGCAGUUUGCACCGAGGUGCAGAACUCUGUACAUAACUGUUUACAUGCCUUCUCUAGUUUGCACCGAGGUGCAGAACUCUGUACACUGCCCAUUACUUACUGUGAAUUAAAAAAAUAUAUUUUUUAA